CUCGUGGGACUCAUUGCUCCAGUUAAGCUUGCCCUCAUUUCUUACUGCACACCCAUUGUUGGUAUACCCGUCUCUUGAUGCUACUGUUUAUCGACGAUCAAUAGUUCUCGGCUACUAAUUGCUGCUUCAACUCGCUUCAUUUUCUUCUUAUUUUGGCUUUAAUUCAUCUUGGGCACCACCAAGUGAGUUUGACAUUCGUGUUCUCUUGAGGUCUCCACCUUUUGCUACUUCUCAUCUUCCACUUGGAAUGUGGUUGACAUCUCGACAGGAUAUCAUAUGGCUCAUGAUUGCACUCUCCACCUGCAAAAUUUUCACAAGAUUGCCUCGAGGGACUUCUC
rnacentral:misc_RNA from 1 species